rnacentral:rRNA from 1 species
AUUGAACGCUGGCGGCAUGCCUUACACAUGCAAGUCGAACGGCAGCACGGGUGCUUGCACCUGGUGGCGAGUGGCGAACGGGUGAGUAAUACAUCGGAACGUACCUUAUCGUGGGGAUAACGCAGCGAAAGCUGUGCUAAUACCGCAUACGCCCUGAGGGGGAAAGCGGGGGAUCGCAAGACCUCGCGCGAUUAGAGCGGCCGAUGCCGGAUUAGCUUGUUGGUGGGGUAAAAGCCCACCAAGGCGACGAGCAGUAGCUGGUCUGAGAGGACGAUCAGCCACACUGGGACUGAGACACGGCCCAGACUCCUACGGGAGGCAGCAGUGGGGAAUUUUGGACAAUGGGGGCAACCCUGAUCCAGCAAUGCCGCGUGAGUGAAGAAGGCCUUCGGGUUGUAAUGCUCUUUUGUCAGGGAAGAAACCCCCUCUCUCACACAGUCCGGGAAUGACGGUACCUGAAGAAUAAGCACCGGCUAACUACGUGCCAGCCGCCGCUGUAA